rnacentral:rRNA from 1 species
GACAGAGGGUGCAAACGUUGUUCGGAAUUACUGGGCGUAAAGCGUGUGUAGGCGGCCAAGCAAGUCGGAUGUGAAAGCCCAGGGCUCAACCCUGGAAGUGCACUCGAUACUGCCUGGCUUGAGUAUCGGAGAGGUUGGUGGAAUUCUCGGUGUAGAGGUGAAAUUCGUAGAUAUCGAGAGGAACACCGGUGGCGAAGGCGGCCAACUGGACGAAUACUGACGCUGAGACACGAAAGCGUGGGGAGCAAACAGG